UACGGGGGGAGCAAGCGUUGUUCGGAUUUACUGGGCGUAAAGGGCGCGGUAGGCGGUCGUGACAAGUCACUUGUGAAAUCUCCGGGCUUAACUCGGAACGGUCAAGUGAUACUGUCGGACUAGAGUACAGAAGGGGCAACUGGAAUUCUCGGGUGUAGCGGUGAAAUGCGUAGAUAUCGAGAGGAACACCUGCGGCGAAGGCGGGUUGCUGGGCUGAUACUGACGCUGAGGCGCGAAAGCCAGGGGAGCGAACGGGG
rnacentral:rRNA from 1 species